GAAUUUAAUAUAAUGAUUUAUAAGAAUAAUUUUAUUUAAGAUAACGAUAAAUAAUUAUAAUUUAGUUGGGAGGACUUUUAAAUUUAAAUAACUUUAAAUAAAAUAAGUAUAUAAAUUAAUAUAUAAAAAUAUUUAGAAUGAUUAUUAAAUUAAUUAAGAAUUAAUUACCUUAGGGAUAACAGCGUAAUAUUUUUAUAGAGAUCAUAUUGAUAAAAAUGAUUGC
rnacentral:rRNA from 1 species